GGAAAUAAUCAUAUAUAUUAUACAAUGGGAGGCAAGCCAUGCGAUCCAUCCUCAUCAUUGCUCAUAACUGAUUUCUCUCCACCACUUUUUCAAAUGCUCUCCGUAUAGCACUUGGCCUACAUGUACGCAUAUCUAACUCAGGUAUAAACAUCCAUAUAAGAUCAUGGCUUUCCAUCUGCCUCGUUCGCAGCAAACCAAGAUUUUCAAUAGCCACAGAAGUUCCCAAUGGCCAUUUUGCAGUUUAUUUGGAGAAAACCGAAUAAAGAGAUUUGUAAUUCCAAUAUGGUACCUGAAUCACCCUUCAUUUCAAGAUCUGCUAAGUCAAGCAGAAGAAGAAUUUGGAUUUGAUCGUCCAAUGGGCGGUCUUACAAUUCCAUUCAGAGAAAAAGUCUUUGUUGAUCUAAUGUCUAGUUUGAAAGGGUCCUGAAAGAGCACUGUAGCAUAAUUCUAUAUUUACAAUUUCGUAUAGCAGACAUAACAGGUAUCUUUAUUUUUCUCCUGUGGAGUCGUGGAAAUUUCCCAGCUUCUCUAUGAAUUUGUGAAAGUGGAGCUAGAGCUAGCUAAAUGGCAUGAUCAAAAAAGGAACAGCACAACAGGGUAUGUAUGGUCCUGGAACAACCGAUAGCACAGCAGAGUGUGGUCCUGGAGCAAGGCCUGGAAUGUGCCAGCACCCAACAAGAGAAGAACCUAAAGUUUGUUGAAUCAGGUGGAAGGACAACAAAUCAAUGUUGGAAAGUAAACUUGGAGAACAAGAAUUAGAAAGCUGCUGAUAACCUUCCUCAAUAAUAAGAUGUUUUAUGUAUAUAAAUAGAACUAUUAAUUCAAUGAAAUGUAUGCAAUGAUUUUUGCUAAUAGCUAUAGCAGUGCUCCAAUUUAUACU